rnacentral:rRNA from 1 species
AUGCAAGAGCUGGGAUUAAGAGAGGAGGAUCUGGAUGAUGUGAUCUUUGACGAGCAAGUCGCGCCGCCGGAGGGGCCUAGAUGGUUUGCCCUAGCUAGGGUUAACACAACGAAGAGCUAUAGCCAGACCUGGUUUUACAGAAACAUGAGAUCGGCGUGGGACAUCGCGCAAGAGGCUAAGUUCAAACCUCUGGAGGAAAAUUUGUACACUGUCCAAUUCACCUGCCUAGGAGAUUGGGAG